rnacentral:lncRNA from 1 species
AGACAUUCCAGGAGAUGAUACGGGAUUUUGAGAUCCACCAUCUUGUUCCAUCGUUGGAAGCUGGCUACGGAGAGCCAAUUCCUGAUGUUUUGGAGAAUUUGCUGUGCUGGGAUUCCGCAUUGCCUGCCGAAGCAGUUCUUGAUGCUUCAGUCUCAGCCUUUCCUUCUCCAUCUGUAGCUGCUGAAGUCUCAUCUGUUGUUGCUGAUUGGAGCUACUCCCACCCAUGACACCACCUUGGGGACUCUGAGGAGCCAGAGGGGGUGGCUGUUUCACUGGAGCACUUUGGCUGAUGCGCUGAUUCAUGGCAAAGCGUGGGUCAAGCCUUGGGUCUAGCCAAGAUGUUGUCUUGUUCUUAUGGUUUAUGUAGUAAAUUUCUCCAUCCUGGGUCAUAGCUUGUUCCCAUCCAUCGGGGAGUGGGCCUGAUGCUGAGUUCAUUAAGUUCUGUUGCACGGGAGGACUGGUGGGAGCUGUAACGUUCAUCUGGGAAAGCAUGGCCUUCCUGGGAUCUUGCCAUGUUGUUGUUUGAUCAAUAUGAUUAAGGAAGUAUCUCUGUCCAGAUGGUGUUUUGGCCAUCUCCCAGCCCGGUGGCAGAGGUACAUCAUCAGGGAUCUCAAAUGAAGACUGGCGGAGAUGCUGAGAAGACGGAGCUCCGGGUCCGGUCACUACUCCGGAGGGUGUGAGCGUCCCAGGGGAGACGGCCCCCAGCUGCAGUGAUGCUGGAGAGGAAUGAGCACGAACAUGCUGAGGGGUCAGGGCUCCUGCUGUCCCUGCGUCAGUGCUGGCCUGGCGGGAGUGAGCUUUGGGCUCGGGCGGCUUGAAGAAGGAGUCCGGCAGCUUGCGGAGCCGCAUGGGCAGCGUGUGCGGCACGUUGGCGCCCUUGGGGUUCAUCACGGCGUUGAAGAGAGCCUCCAGGUCGGUCUCGGAGUCGCCCCGCACAUGGACGAUCUGGUGCCCCGCCGGAGGGGGCCCCGCGCCCGGCGGCUGCGCGGCGCCUCCCGGAGCUCCCGACCCGCGCCCGGGGGCUGCGGGGCCGCCUGCUGCGGGGCCGGGGGCUGCGCCGCCUGCGGCGGCUGCUGCGGCUGAGGCUGCCCGGGAUCCAUGGCUGCGGCGGGACCCCCUGGCGCUUCCUCGCGGGGCUCGGCGGCUCAGAGCGCGCAGGGUCGGCCCCGCAUGCCCCGCGCCGCGGCUCGUCCCGCUGUCCCCGGCGCUUCCUACCCCUCGGCGGGGACGGGCGAAACGGCUGUGACCGCGCGGCGCUGCCCCGAGCCCGGCCCAGCCCGGCCGGCGCCUCCGUCCCGGCGGCGGAAACUAACUCGCACAACACUCCAAACAAAAGUUCGCAGUUACGCCCGCCCGAAUCACUCUCGGCGGCGGACUCCGCCCCUCCUGAGCCCGCCCGCACCGUAUCCGACCGAGACGGCCCUGCGCCGCGCUGCCCUCCUGCUCGCGCCCGCCCGCACCGCCUCCCGCCCACCGGGCGCCCCGAAGCAGAGGGAGCCGCCCGGCCCCCCCGGACCCGUAGCGCGCGGCCCGCGGUCGCCUCACGGCCGGGUUCGUCCCGCCGACUCAGCGCUCCUCUCCGCGCGCCCGCCCGCGCGUCUCCCUUCUGCCGCCCGCCCGGCCGUGGAACCGCGCCGCCAACCACAACUUUUAUUUCUCCCCAACUUCUCUCCUAACUUCCAGGCUCCCGCCGAGGGGGUGGGGAAGAGCUGCGGCGCUCCCCUCCCCCGCCGCCCCGGAAGGGGACAGCCCCCCUCUGUGAGAGAUGGGGGGGGGCGAAGGGGGGGAGAAGACCGUGGGUACGACCCCUCCCGCGGGACUGAGGCAGCGGGGCGCCGGGCCUCGGCCUCACCUGGCGGCGGGGCGCGGGGCGGCGGCCGUGCAGCUGAAGGGACGCGCACAGACGCAUCUGGAGAAGUUACUUUUAUUAGAUCGGUCAAAACUCGGAAAAACAGCAUCAGGAGGAUCAGAACUCAGGAGAAAAAAAGAACCAGAAGGGUCAAACCCCAGGAAAACAGCAACAAGGACCGCGCCUGACACGCGUUGCACGAAGCGUUCCGUCACCGACCGUCCCACCACAAGGGCGCGAGGCGCCGCGCAGCCCCCGCCCGCCCCGCCGAGCUCAGGGCGCGCCGCCCCCGAAGCGGUGGUACAGCGCGUGCACGUGGCGCCGGGCCGGGUCCAGCAGCAGAUAGGAGAAGGUCUGCGCGUGGGCUGUGCGCGACGGGUAGCACAGGCCGCUGCCGUCCUGAGGGGAGGGGAAAAGCGGCAGCGUUAGAUACAGCGCGGGUCCCACCGGGAGAGCCCAUAAAACCUGAGUGCAGUGCAGCUUUAGGUUCAACUCCGACAACUUACGGCGCAACGGAAGGAAGGAACGCUGUGGUUUAUGGAAGUAGCAUUUUGUCUCCAUUACAAUACUGACACUACAAAAUGCAGAUUAUCCAUCUCAGUAACUUUAUAACCUUAUGGCAAACGCAGCGUUAAUACAAAAUGUAGAAUUAAGCACAUAAGCGUAGGCUUGCACGAUUGGAGCCUAAAAUCCAGCUGAUUAAAUACACAAAGAUCCCAUCGCAUUCCAUUAAAAUACAAAAAAUAGGUACGGACUGCAUAUUAACACAUGAAGCCCUUCUACCAAUGAUUCUUUUUUACUUCGCGCUUAAGGAAAACCCCUCUGCAGCGCUUUGAACACCUCCGAGCUGCCACUGGAAGCAGUUUGUGUGCCAUUGCUCACAAAGUAUGCGAGGAGAAUCUCAACGCCCCGCCCCAAACCCGACUGUGGAAGAACGCCUCCAGCUGACAGCGGGCGCUGCGGUGGGCUCCUCGGGUCAGCACCCACUUCUGCUGCCCGGCUUCCCCCGGCAGCACAGCCCAACACACAGCACAGCCCAGGAAGCUGAGGGGAUUGUUUGGAGGUUGCUUUUUUUCUGUUGGUUGGGUUUUGAUGCGUUCAAUCUGGCAACUGAGCAUCCAAAAGAGCAAGGGAUACAUAGCUCACACAUCCUGUCUUUGAAAACCCAGUAUGGUUUCCUCCUGCUCCCCAACACCUUUUUGGACCAAGGAAUCAGGAAAGCUGCAACCUCUCCCUGUGGUUAUCGCUGUCAGCUCAGAAGGAAAAGAUCUGGGUUCUGAUUUCUGCUCCCAGGACCUUCUGUGAAAUGUAUCUGGUAGCUGUUGCAGGCACCCCAAUUUUGCUCCUGUUAUUUCAGAGGAUGAAACCCCUGCUGUACGCUGCGAUGUCUUCCUUUGGGUGAUUAUUCAAGAUGGUAAAUCUUAAAUUAAGAUAAGCACCACCAUAAAAGCAUUGUUUAAGACAGGUAGAGAUUUGAUAUGUUUAUUCACAGCAUUUUCUGAUGGUAGGCAAAUGCCGCCAGCUAAAAAUAGCAUUCUAUUUUUAAAGAACCCAGCACACAAGCUCCAUAGCUCUCAGGUUUAGACACCUAACUCUCUAUAGAUGUUUUAUGGGGAUACGUGUGUAUCAGAUACUGGAUUCUCUAUUGCAGUAAGGAGAGCAAGCUUUAAGACAUAACAGCAUCCAGCAUCACAAUGCCUUGGAGUUUAACCCAAAAGUAACCUAAGCUCACACACAGAACUAACUCAAAACACCGACAUUGAGACACAACUGCUAGUUACACUUGUUUGCAUUGCUACUGAAGAUCCCACUUAGCAGUCCUUACUGAAUUGAUCGAUCUCAGCUCCAUUUUUGACUGUUUAAAGGCAGCAGUUGCGCACUGGAAGUUUACUCAUCAACUUAAGAACAAAAAUAAAUUAAGUUCUGAUGAUAUUUCAAGAAAUUCCAGAGUAUAACAAACCUGGGAUGAGGAAAAUAAUCUGAUCAAGUUCUUAAAUUUGUCCUAGUUAGUAAGGGGGCUAUUUAAAACAAAGAAACAACAAGAAAAAGCACCUAAAAGCCUUGAGUGUAACAGCAUUAGAAUGUACGUAGCGUUACUGUGAUCAUUACAGCAGUGGGGUAGGUGUACGUGGGCUAAGAGUCGUUCCAAUUCCAUCUGCAGUUUGGUUCAGACAUGCAGUGGAUGCAAUAGCUGAUUUACUGAUACAGACUAGGAUCAUUUCGUUUUCAACUCAUACAGGUAAUCUGCAGAUGACUGAAAGAUGAAACGUGCAGCGUAAUGCUGAAAUAAGGAUAUUGCUGAGCAUCUCUCAGCACAGCACCACUUAACCGUCAGUUUAAAAGAAUUUUUGAAGAAGCCAUUUAUUACUUCUGAUUCCCAGCAGCGCUACAGUUGGCCUUCAGGUAAGGAAAGUUCUAAGACAGCAGUUUGCAUCCAAAUACUUCAGCUACAGGACAGUUUCAUUUUACGCCAGCGCCAAAGCUCUUAGUGCUUGGUCACAAGACUCAAAGUGAUUUCUCCCAUCAUGACCAGUUCUACAAAGUUUUGAUGCUAAACAGAUCUACAGACAUUCAUAGCUACACCCUACUACUCUGAAAUAUUGAGAUCCGACUACCUUGUUCUAAACUGCUUUUAAUCAUGCCAUAUUCCUUUCAUCAUCAGUUUCCAUCACUGUUUUUGAUACGAUCACACUACUGAGUAAUGUAUCUAUGGACACAGACUUGUUGAAAAGGAGGCAUGACUCACAAUGUUCAUACAAUAUCGUUGACAGCUGGUUCAACCUCUGUAUUACCCAAUUAUAGUAGUGUUCUUUUUUUAGACAGUCUCCAAAAGGAGGGCUUACUGGCCACAAUGUAAAAAUCAAAUAAAAGGAAAGCGAUGCUAUCAAGAUGACAUCACAUAAAAUACUUAAUUCCUGAUUCCACUUGUAUUUCUGCAAACAAAUGAAGUGUAUUUAUUUGUCCAUUUAUUAAUUCAGUUUGCAAAGAUCAGUUUGGAUUCUUCUAAUUUCUUGGCUGCUGUUCAGCUCACUUUUAGCAGCACAGCUUUCUUUUACGUCAGGCUAAGAGGUUACAUCCAUUUCUUUCAGAUACAGACCAAGAAAAUAUGGCUUGUAAAUUGUUACCUCAGCAUUAAAAUGAUCACACUGCAGAUUCUGAGUUUAGUUGGUAAAAUAACUGGAAAUUAUCCACUGCAGAAAUAGGUCAUCUUGAGUGAACAUUUUCAUCAGAACCACGUGAAAUUGUGUUCCAGUAGGUACCCUGCCUGGAAUUUCCAAGCAGAGUUUUAGGGGUUUGGGAUCACAGAACCAGCAAACAGCCCAGAGCUGCUAAACCAGCAGGACUUCUUUUGUUCUGAGGGAAGAUUCUUCAGGAUUUCUUUAGCAAAAGCAGAAUUUCCAAGCGCUCUCUCACCUCACAAGUUUACAGAAUAUGUGAUAAAAGUCAAAUUUCCCCCUACGGGAGGGUAUUGUGCUCUAUAGUUAUCCUGGAUUUUCUUUUGCCCAUCCACUUUGUUUUCAAAACGUUGCUGAAGGUUGCAUCUUUUUUUUUUUUUUUUUUAAUGCUGAUGAUAUUUGACGUAUGGCAAAUACAGCUAAGGAAGCUCUUAAAUAUCUAAAUAUCUACCGAAACUCAGGAGUAUGUAAAGCUCGGAUCAAUGCAUUUGACAAAUACAUAGGAGAAAAACAGUAAUAAAAUAUCACAUCAUCAGAGUUUUGGUUUUUUAUCAUAUUUUUUACUGAAGCCUGCAGCCUGGUAGGAAGAUGAAUUGUGAUCCAUAAGUAAAGUGCCUAUUUUUAGAAGACAUUUCAGAAGCCUUUUUGAAUUACACAUAGUACUUAAAAGAUGAUGACCCACAAAUGAAUAACUGGGCUAUUGGUAAGCCAAAGGGAAGUUUGUGCAGUCUGAAAUGACAUCAGCUAUUUCUUUUGGAUGUGGGAACAUUAUCUGGUUACGUAUUCUGGUUACUCAAGGAGGUUUUGGAGUAGUAACCAUUAAAUUAUGGAUAUGCUGAAUCUAGUAAACAUGCAACCAGUUCUCAGAUUUGUUGUGAUGGCAAAUGUGAUGAUUUUGCAAGAGAAACAGAAAGGAGUGAGACUUGUCAACAGAGAGGAAGAGAGGUUAGUAGACAUCUCACUGCCCUCACCCUUCUGUAUACUACAUUUCCUUGUAUUCUUUACAGAAACAGUUGCAGUGCAUGCUAUUCAUACAGCUCUAGAAACAGUUCUAAAAACAGAACCACACAAAGUCACGAGUGGAUUCUUAAUCCUUAUUUCUAUCUCAAGUAGAUCUAAAAAUAGAAUUACUCAGUCCUAAAUAAAUAUUUUUCUUUUCAUAAACCAGUUUCUGGAUGACUAUUAUGACUUAAAUUGUAAUCCAGUAAACCUAUUUUUAGUGAGCUGGCGAUUAUUGAUGAAGAGUUAUUCAAGAGUGCAAGCAGGAUGAGAUCAGGCACAGAGUUCAUGAGUUAAAAAAAAAAAAAAAACAGCUGUGGAAAAACAAGUCCUUAAAAUGCAACAUGUGUAAAUAUAAAUUCAGUAUUUUUAAGUUAUGCAUCUUCCAGUAAAAUCCUGUGCCAAAAAUUAAUACUUACAUAUGCAGACACUCUGAAGACAGUAGAAGUAAUGCUUAUUUCUUUCGUUUCGGGAUUCUUUUGAACACUGAAAUACAAGGGAAUGAAACGUACUUAAUAUUUACAGUAAUCACAGAACAUUACAAUCCUUCAUUUAGUGUAUUUUUUACACACACACUGUGUAACACAUUUUUAACAUACACACUGUGCCCUUGCUCAGAUUUGAUCAAGUUAAAAUUAAUGGUUAAAAUUCAACUCGUUACACUGACCCUGAGAAGGCACACUGCUGCGCUUAGAUACCAUGGAUAUUAUGACAACUGAAAACUAUAGAAUGAAAAUGAGUCUGGUCAUCUGAGGUGGUUUCAGUGUUCUCAGCUACUAAAUCUCAGCAAUAUUACCAGGCCUAAAUGAGUCCAAUAUGAAGUUUGCAUUUUGAUAGCUAAGAAAAGUCAUUCCGCUAAACAUUUUUUAAAGAUCUUUUCACAUACAUUCAUGAAAAAGCUGUAAUGUAAACUGCAUCUUAACACGGACUUAACAUCUUCAGCAGCAGCAGAAUUCGUAAAGAAAUGAAAACUUAAGGUUAUUUUUUAUUAAUGUAUAAUUGUUUCACAUUCAUUUUUAAUCCUUUAGAAUGUUGCAUAUGCAGACAGCUACGCAAAUUAGGAUGGUAUUUUUUUUCUGAAUUUUUAUAUUCCAGAUGUGUUGUGAAGUCUGACAUUUCUUCCAUCACCAUUACCAAUACUAAGAUAUUAUUACUAACUAAUAUUAUCAACAGUAAGAUGUUAUUGCAGAGUGGCCAAUUACCUCAGCAAUGUAUUUGAAACUGAGAUAUCUUAAGAUGUAUUACUUUUCCUCAGGUCUUCUUUAAGUGAUGCUUAUAUUUCUUUUUCAGUUAGCUCGCGUAACUUCUAUCAGUUUAUCUGAUUGCACAGAUUGCUGCUUAAAUUGAUUCACCAUGGAUUAGUUGAGCCCUUACAGAUUCCACAUUUAUACAGUUCCCAGAAUCUGCUGAGAGUCUGCUUUGUCACAAACAGGUUCAGUUCCUGGGAAAGGUCAGAAAAUAGCCAACUUGGAAGAGGGUGUGUUAAACACAGCCCAGUUGUCCACCUAACCAGCUCCAAGAUAUGACAGCAGUCCCCUAUUACCAAUGCUUUCACAAAGCUGCUUUUUAUAAGGACAAACAAAACCCAACCCACAUUAUUUUUUUAACCAAUUAAAAAAUGACUUCAACUGAUUUCAUCUGCAAAGUAAUGACAGUUGUGGAGGAACUAAAUCUGUACUGUGAAGCAGAUCUUUCCUGUGGUGAGUCAGUAACGAGGCUUUCUCAGAAUUUUUUGCUGUAACUCACAUGUUGAUAUACUCAACAGUGGAUUAAGACAACAGUGCUGAAACUGGUACUGGCCCCAGUUGUCUGCCUUACCACCCCUCGAGAGAUUACUGUCUUCCCAGCAGGGACAGCUCAACUGGUUUGUGACUCAGCUUCUGAACCACCGCACUUUACAGACCAGCAUAUUAAGAUAAACUAAAAUGGAUGUUAGUUUAUGCUAACAUACUGGGCUGUAAACUGCAGCACUGUGUUUGCUGAAAGGGCGACAAGUUUCUGACCAAGGUAUAGCAGGUCGGGGGGUCAGCGACUUCUGCCGUAUAUAUCCAUCCUCAAGAACUACCCUUGUUUUUAGGUUACUUUGACUUCAUUUUCUUCUAUCUGAAAACUUUCAGGUUUCUUAAAUUUUAUGUUAUAUAUAGGAUACCAAAACAAAGGCUGACAGAGAGUAAAUCUUAUUUAUUCCACUGCCUGAAGAAAUUCUCCCCGCGUGUGUGUAGCUUCCUGUAAGUCAUGUUUAUUUCUAGUGCUUUGGUUAACUUUUAGGGCAAAAUAAUAUAUCUGCCAAAAUCAGAUGAGAUUCUUCUCUUGAUGGCUAGAAAGCAACCAGGAUGCUCCCUCUGACAAGUUUCAUUGUGUGGGGGUUAUUGGUUUGUUUUUUUUUUCCCUAAAAGAUUUUAGAAAAAAAAAAUACCUUCUUUUAUUGAAAAGAGCAGUAUUUCCAUUAAAAUACUGUCUCAAUAUCCACUUUGUUCUUUCAGAUUGUUCACUCCUAAACCAUUAAUCGAAUAUGGAAAUUCCUUCAUCAUUUUAAUGUGCAUCUAUCCUCUGGUCAUGAUGAGCAAACUUCCUCAUUGUGAAUCAAUUCACUUUGAGCUCUACUUACAUUCUCACCUUACUCACUGGCAAUGUUUUUUAGGCUUUCAAACCAUUAAACAAACAACCCAAUACUUCACAUAAAUUCAUUUAUCACAGGGGAAAGGAUAUGGAGAUGACACAGAGGAAUACAGAGAACAAUAAUGAUAAGAGAAUACAGCGGUUGUCACCAGAAAGUGACAUUGUCAGAAAAUAACAGGAGUGAGGUACAGAAGACAAGAUUUAUCAGUUCAGAUCACAAAGUUUAAUAGAUUAAGUUUUAAUUGCCACACUUCUGUCACGUCAAUGAUUUAGAUAAACCAAAAAUGCUACAAAUAUUUUUAAUUUUUUCAGGUUAUGCAGAACAUCACA